GUAGGUAGAGGGCCUGGCCAACUCCUC
rnacentral:piRNA from 1 species